rnacentral:pre_miRNA from 1 species
AUAAUUAUUAUUUUCAUUUUUGUUAGAUGAUAAAACAUGAUUAAUACUUUAUGCGUGACUUAUCUUUUUAAUUUUUUUUAUAAUUUUUUUAAAUAAGACGGACGGUCAAACGUUAGACACGGAAAUCAGGGUUUGUCUUUUU